rnacentral:rRNA from 1 species
UGCAGCGACGCCGCGUGAGGGAUGACGGCCUUCGGGUUGUAAACCUCUUUCAGUAGGGACGAAGCGAAAGUGACGGUACCUGCAGAAGAAGGACCGGCCAACUACGUGCCAGCAGCCGCGGUAAUACGUAGGGUCCGAGCGUUGUCCGGAAUUACUGGGCGUAAAGAGCUCGUAGGUGGUUUGUCGCGUUGUUCGUGAAAACUCACAGCUUAACUGUGGGCGUGCGGGCGAUACGGGCAGACUGGAGUACUGCAGGGGAGACUGGAAUUCCUGGUGUAGCGGUGGAAUGCGCAGAUAUCAGGAGGAACACCGGUGGCGAAGGCGGGUCUCUGGGCAGUAACUGACGCUGAGGAGCGAAAGCGUGGGGAGCGAACAGGAUUAGAUACCCUGGUAGUCCACGCCGUAAACGGUGGGUACUAGGUGUGGGUUUCCUUCCUUGGGAUCCGUGCCGUAGCUAACGCAUUAAGUACCCCGCCUGGGGAGUACGGCCGCAAGGCUAAAACUCAAAGGAAUUGACGGGGGCCCGCACAAGCGGCGGAGCAUGUGGAUUAAUUCGAUGCAACGCGAAGAACCUUACCUGGGUUUGACAUGCACAGGACGCCGGCAGAGAUGUCGGUUCCCUUGUGG